rnacentral:rRNA from 1 species
UCCUAGGAGCUUGCUCCGAAAGAUUUAGUGGCGAACGGGUGAGUAUCACGUGAGCAACCUGCCCCGAAGACUGGGAUAACACCGGGAAACCGGUGCUAAUACCGGAUACCUUCCAAUGAUCGCAUGAUCGAUGGAAGAAAUGUAUUUCGCUUCGGGAGGGGCUCGCGGUCCAUCAGCUUGUUGGCGGGGUAACGGCCCACCAAGGCUACGACGGAUAGCUGGUCUGAGAGGACGAUCAGCCACACUGGAACUGAGACACGGUCCAGACUCCUACGGGAGGCAGCAGUGGGGAAUCUUGCGCAAUGGGCGAAAGCCUGACGCAGCAACGCCGCGUGAGGGACGAAGGCUUUCUGAGUUGUAAACCUCUUUCGACAGGAACGAUUGUGACGGUACCUGUAGAAGAAGCACCGGCCAACUAUGUGCCAGCAGCCGCGGUGAUACAUAGGGUGCGAGCGUUAUUCGGAUUUAUUGGGCGUAAAGAGCUCGUAGGCGGUUCGAUAAGUCGGGUGUUAAACCCCCAGGCUCAACCUGGGGCCGCCACCCGAAACUAUCGUGACUAGAGUUUGGUAGGGGAUCACGGAAUUCCUGGUGUAGCGGUGGAAUGCGCAGAUAUCAGGAGGAACACCAGUAGCGAAGGCGGUGAUCUGGGCCAAUACUGACGCUGAGGAGCGAAAGCGUGGGGAGCGAACAGGAUUAGAUACCCUGGUAGUCCACGCCGUAAACGGUGGGCACUAGGUGUGGGGACUUUUCAACGGUUUCCGCGCCGCAGCUAACGCAUUAAGUGCCCCGCCUGGGGAGUACGGCCGCAAGGCUAAAACUCAAAGAAAUUGACGGGGGCCCGCACAAGCAGCGGAGCAUGUGGCUUAAUUCGAUGCAACGCGAAAAACCUUACCUAGAUUUGACAUGCUGGGAAAAGCCGUAGCUACAAUGG